rnacentral:rRNA from 1 species
UAAAGAAUUUCGGUAUGGGAUGGGGAUGCGUUCCAUUAGUUAGUUGGCGGGGUAACGGCCCACCAAGACAACGAUGGAUAGGGGUUCUGAGAGGAAGGUCCCCCACAUUGGAACUGAGACACGGUCCAAACUCCUACGGGAGGCAGCAGUGAGGAAUAUUGGUCAAUGGACGAGAGUCUGAACCAGCCAAGUAGCGUGAAGGAUGACUGCCCUAUGGGUUGUAAACUUCUUUUAUAUGGGAAUAAAAUGUUCCACGUGUGGGAUUUUGUAUGUACCAUAUGAAUAAGGAUCGGCUAACUCCGUGCCAGCAGCCGCGGUAAUACGGAGGAUCCGAGCGUUAUCCGGAUUUAUUGGGUUUAAAGGGAGCGUAGGUGGAUUGUUAAGUCAGUUGUGAAAGUUUGCGGCUCAACCGUAAAAUUGCAGUUGAAACUGGCAGUCUUGAGUACAGUAGAGGUGGGCGGAAUUCGUGGUGUAGCGGUGAAAUGCUUAGAUAUCACGAAGAACUCCGAUUGCGAAGGCAGCUCACUGGACUGCAACUGACACUGAGGCUCGAAAGUGUGGGUAUCAAACAGGAUUAGAUACCCUGGUAGUCCACACAGUAAACGAUAAAGACUCGCUGUUUGCGAUAUACAGCAA